CAGGAGAGUGUAAGGUGAACAUAUUCCUCAUGUUACAUAUAUGUACAAAGAACAAUAAAAAUUCUCCGAAGUGUGGAAGUGACUGGGACUGUGAUGAUAACCAGAAGUGCUGCUACCACGACUGCCGUAAGCAAUGCCUGGAUCCUGCUGGUAAGCGGGACUCUGCCCAGUUCCAGAUGAACAAUGUGAGACCCUUUUCCUUGUGGACAGUGCACCACAGACAGCGAGUGUGACGGCACCAAGAAAUGUUUUACCCCAUAUUGGACACCGACAUGCACGGAGCCCCUGAAGCCUAAAGGAGAGAAUAAUUCCAGUGUUACCAGUAGCCAAUAGGGUCCCAGAUGUCACAUGACCCUGCGGUCCCGGGCGCUCUGUACCUGCAGAUUGGGGGCACCGGGCACAGAUUAUGGAUGAUAAAUGUACAUUGUGUCACAGUAACGGCUCAUUGUAUUGUGAGUGUUGUCCAAUCUAAAUGUAAUAAA